UGCCACUGACAUUUAAUGUUUUA
rnacentral:siRNA from 1 species